AUUUUUGUGAUUGCUUUUUGGUGGAGCCCAGACUGCAUCCAUCUGGGAUCAUUCAACCUGAGGGAUUCACCCUGGGCAGAGUUUUAAAUGAGAGGAGUUUGGCUUCUGAACCAGAGGACAUAGCUCAAUUUCAAAGCGGUGAUGAAAGCAGCCACAGUCUGAGCAGUUACAUUAGUGCAAAUUUUCCCGAGCCAUGAGUUUACCUCCAGAAAACAAUGCAGUGGACUCUGGAGGCCUUGUUGAGAGCAACGACUCACUGAACCAGGAGGAGAACUGCAGUCUUGCUAUAGACCUAUCCUCAGCUCUCAGGUCUGUGGGCUUAAUGAGCACACUAAAUCUGAAAGAACUGUUCUCAGUAUCCAAACCUGAAGAGGAAACUCCAGUUUUGUCUUCAUUAGAUGAUCAAGCUGAUCAUACAGAAGGGCCAGCAGAUCCAGUGGAGGAAGAGGUGCUGAAUGUGACAUUCCAGUCAAAGUUCAUUGACUUCUUCCCGCUGUAUCAGGACUACUGUCUACAAGAGGUGAAAGAAGACAUCUUCAGACUCACCAGUUUUGUGUCUGAGCUGAUAACUCCUCAGUACCUGCAGGGUCUGCAGUCCCGUUUGAAUCCUUCAUGUAAAUCUGAGGCUGCAUCACCACAAUUAAACCCUGAUGAAGCUUCUCCUUCCUCACAUCUGCCCCAGCCAAUCAGGGUGACUCCAUGCACUCUUUGGCAGGAUCUAGAGGAGGUGAAGGUGUCUGGCCUGCUGGGCAGCUUGACAACCAGAGAGAUCCGUCUUCAGGAGUCCCUGUUUGAGUUGAUCGGCUCUGAAGCAUCUUACCUAAGGAGCCUCAGAGUUGCUGUCAAUCACUUCUACAAAUCAAAGGAGCUGAGAAAGAGUCUGUCCAAAAGGGAGCAUCAUGUGUUGUUUUCCAACAUUCAUGGCGUGAUGGCAGCCAGUGAAAAGUUUCUGAUGGAUCUGGAAAUUCGACUGGGAGAGAAUGUUUUGAUGUCUCAGGUUGAAAACAUUGUACUUCAGCACUGCCCAGAGUUUCACAGCCUGUAUGUGCCAUAUGUGACCAACAUGAUGUACCAGGAGGCUCUUAUCAGUCAGCUGCUUCAGCAGAACAGAGACUUCCUGAACUCAAUCAAGAAGCUUGAGAGUGACCCAGUGUGUCAGAGACAGAGCCUCAAGUCCUUCCUCGUCCUACCCUUCCAGAGAAUUACUCGAAUGAAACUCAUCCUGGAGAGCGUCUUGAAACUAACUGAACAAGGGUCUGACUCAGUUUUGAACCUUGAAAAAGCAAUAGAAGCCAUUCAUGAGAUAGUGGCUGAGUGUGACAAGGGGGUCCAAAAAAUGAAACAAAUUGAGGAGCUGGUGUCCCUGGAAAUGCACAUGGAUUUCGGCAAAGUGAAAUCUGUGCCUUUGGUUGUGAGCGGGCGUUUCCUUGUGCACCAAGGUCCAAUGAGACAGCUGACUUUGGAGGCUGCUUACAGCUCAAAAACGUCAUUCAUCAGUGUCUACCUUCACCUCUUCAACAACCUUCUGAUCAUCUCAUCAAAAAAGUCAGGGAUCAGAGGUUCACAGUUCUGGAUCAUGCUGAAUUCCCCACACACGUCCAUCUUGAGCCUCUGAAGGCAGAAGUCUUGGGUCUGCCCCGAGAGUCCUUCUUGCUGCAUCUCUCUCAGAGUCGAACUGGGCAACCGACUGCCAUGAUACUUGUCACACACUCAAGGUCAGAUAAAGAGGAGUGGAUACAGCUGUUGUCAAAACAGUGAUGGAAAUAUGACCCUGAUCUUUUGUUUUAAAGUACAUUUUCCUAUUUUAACAUGCACAUUACUCACAUGUCAUUUUUGAUAACUGAAAAAAAAAGUUUUUUUUCCACACUUAUGGGUUUAUCUUAACUGCACUUAAUGUUUUUAAAUAGAGGCACUCUAAAGCAUCAACUCACAACGGGUAGGAACAUGCACUGAGCUAUCACAAUUAAGAAACACAAUUAAGAAACACUUCAACUAAGGGGAUAUUUACAUUUUUAGUGAUCAAGUUUUAUCCAUUUGGACUGAAAUUGCUUUUUGAAAGAGAUAUGCUUUUGACUUGUUCUGACAUUUUUUUAAGAUCAGCUUUUUGUGACAAAGUUUUGAACUGAAUAAAGAUGCUGAAAGACAACAUGACA